rnacentral:rRNA from 1 species
ACGUAGGGUGCGAGCGUUGUCCGGAAUUAUUGGGCGUAAAGAGCUCGUAGGCGGUCUGUCGCGUCGGUCGUGAAAACCUGCAGCUUAACUGUGGGCUUGCGGUCGAUACGGGCAUGACUGGAGUUCGGCAGGGGAGACUGGAAUUCCUGGUGUAGCGGUGAAAUGCGCAGAUAUCAGGAGGAACACCGGUGGCGAAGGCGGGUCUCUGGGCCGAUACUGACGCUGAGGAGCGAAAGCGUGGGGAGCGAACAGGAUUAGAUACCCUGGUAGUCCACGCCGUAAACGGUGGGCGCUAGGUGUGGGGGCCAUUCCACGGUCUCUGUGCCGCAGCUAACGCAUUAAGCGCCCCGCCUGGGGAGUACGGCCGCAAGGCUA